rnacentral:misc_RNA from 1 species
UACGUAGGUGGCAAGCGUUGUCCGGAAUUAUUGGGCGUAAAGCGCGCGCAGGCGGUCCCUUAAGUCUGAUGUGAAAGCCCACGGCUCAACCGUGGAGGGUCAUUGGAAACUGGAGGACUUGAGUACAGAAGAGGAAAGUGGAAUUCCACGUGUAGCGGUGAAAUGCGUAGAGAUGUGGAGGAACACCAGUGGCGAAGGCGACUCUCUGGUCUGUAACUGACGCUGAGGCGCGAAAGCUGGGGUCUCGAACCGG